rnacentral:sRNA from 1 species
GCUGAUUGGGAUACUCUUCAAAUUUUUCAUGAAAUGCCGAGAAAAGUAUUCUCGUCAAUGGCGGGCCUCAACCAUUUGGUGUCUUCGCGACCGGAGGAUUACAAAGACUUGGAUACCCUCAAAUCCUGUAUUUAUCGGAGUUUCAUCACAUCCCUUUGAUGUGGCUUUAU